GGAGACAGUGUUAAGGAGGAGACACCAUAAGCCCUGUCCUCCUGUCCUUUCUUACCACACCAUGUGGAAGAGCAGACGGGCUCAGCUGUGUCUUUUUUCAGUUCUUCUUGCCUUCCUGCCUUCUGCUUCUUCACUCAAUGGAGACUCGAAGUAUAUGGUGCUGGUCCCUUCUCAGCUCUACACUGAGACCCCUGAGAAAAUCUGCCUCCAUUUAUACCAUCUGAAUGAGACAGUGACCGUUACAGCUUCCUUGGUAUCUCAAACGGGAAGGAGAAACCUGUUCGAUGAGCUUGUGGUUGACAAGGACUUGUUCCAAUGUGUUUCCUUCAUUAUCCCUACACUCAACUCUCCUGAUGAGGAGGAGUUUCUCUACGUGGACAUCAAAGGGCCAACCCACGAAUUCAGCAAAAGGAAUGCAGUGCUUGUGAAGAACAAAGAAAGUGUUGUCUUUGUCCAGACAGAUAAGCCCGUGUACAAGCCAGGACAAUCAGUUAAAUUUCGGGUUGUCUCUAUGGAUAAAACUCUACGCCCCCUGAAUGAGUUGCUUCCUCUGGCUUACAUUGAGGAUCCGAAAAAGAACCGAAUUAUGCAGUGGAGGGAUAUUAAGACUGAGAAUGGGCUUAAGCAAAUGUCCUUCAGCCUGGCAGCAGAGCCCAUUCAGGGCCCCUACAAGAUAGUGGUGCACAAACAGUCAGGGGUGAAGGAAGAACACUCCUUUACUGUGAUGGAAUUUGUGCUUCCCAGAUUUAAUGUCGACCUGAAGGUCCCAAAUGCCAUCUCUGUGAAUGAUGAAGUGCUCCAAGUGACUGUAUGUGGGAACUAGACAACAAUGGCUGCAGCACACAAGAAGUGAAAAUCACUGAACUCCAAUCAAAGAGAAGAAAUCACAGGGUUCAACUUUUCCAUGUGAAUGCAACUGUUACAGAAGAAGGGACAGGAUUGGAGUUCGGGGGAUAUGGAACAACUAAAAUUGAAAGAAUCACAAACAAGCUCAUAUUUCUGAAGGCAGAUUCACACUUCAGACAUGGGAUUCCAUUCUUUGUGAAAUGGAUAUCAAGGGAGACCCUAUCCCAAAUGAGAAAGUCUUCAUCAAAGCUCAAGAACUUGGCUAUACCAGUGCUACUACCACUGAUCAGCAUGGCCUGGCAAAGUUCUCCAUAGAUACCGCUGACAUCUCGGUCCCUUUCCUCCAUAUCAAAGUCAACCACAAAGAGGAAGAUUCAUGUUCCUAUUUCUAUUGCAUGGAGGAAAGACAUGCAAGUGCAGAGCAUGUGGCCUAUGCUGUUUCUUCCCUCAGCAAAAGUUACAUAUACCUUGACACAGAGACCAGCAGCAUCUUGCCCUGCAACCAGAUUCACACAGUUCAAGCACAUUUUAUUCUGAAAAGGGACUUGGGAGUGCUGAAAGAGCUCGUUUUCUACUACCUGGUCAUGGCCCAGGGCAGCAUCAUCCAGACUGGAAACCACACUCACCAGGUGGAGCCAGGAGAAGCUCCAGUAAAAGGCAACUUUGCCUUGGAGAUCCCUGUGGAGUUCAGCAUGGUCCCAAUGGCUAAAAUGCUCAUCUACACGAUCUUGCCUGAUGGAGAAGUGAUUGCAGAUUCUGUAAACUUUGAAGUUGAAAAGUGUCUUCGCAACAAAGUGGACCUGAGCUUCAGCUCAUCUCAAAGUCUUCCCUCCUCACAAACCCGUCUGCAGGUCACAGCUUCUCCUCAGUCCCUCUGUGGCCUGAGAGCUGUGGACCAGAGUGUGCUGCUCCUGAAGCCCGAGGCUGAGCUCUCCCCUUCCUGGAUAUACAAUCUGCCAGGUAUGCAGCACAACAAAUUCAUUCCAAGUUCCCGUCUGUCUGAAGACCGAGAAGACUGUAUACUGUACAGGUUAUGGAUGUCUGAGAACAGAUACUCAAUACGACAGGGAAGAGAAAAGGACGUCUACAGUUAUGUGGAGGACAUGGGUUUAACAGCAUUCACCAACUUGAAGAUCAAACAUCCUACAUCUUGUUUUUAUUAUGGAAAUUGGAAUAUCUUCACACGUUUCUAUAAGCAAGAGGACCUGAGGCACUGUGUCUACUCUAGACAAUGGAAUAAUUGGGGAACUAUCCCUGUAGCUGUUAAAGUAACGGGUGAAGAACUUAAAACACUAGAAAAUACUUAGUUCUUGAAGGCAAAUAUAAAGACCACAAUCAGCACCUCCUGUGGAAUUUGAUCAUGAAUUUAGGGAUGGACUUUCUGGGAGAUUGCAAAUGGGAUCAAGUGAAAGACCUCCUCCUGAAGAGCCACAACGUAAAGACCCACCAACUAAAGAUCCACUUACGGAGACCAUUCGGAAAUAUUUUCCUGAAACCUGGGUCUGGGAUAUAGUCACAGUAAACUCCACAGGAGUGGCUGAAGUGGAAAUGACUGUCCCUGACACCAUCACUGAAUGGAAAGCUGGAGCCCUCUGCCUGUCCAAUGACACUGGCCUUGGCCUCUCUUCUGUGGUACCUCUCCAAGCCUUCCAGCCCUUCUUUGUGGAAGUCUCAUUGCCCUACUCUGUGGUCCGUGGAGAAGCCUUCAUGCUCAAAGCCACUGUGAUGAACUACCUCCCUACAAGCAUGCGGAUGAGUGUGCAGCUGGAAGCCUCUCCUGAUUUCACAGCUGUACCAGUGGGAGACGACCAAGAUUCUUACUGCCUCAGUGCCAAUGGGAGGCACACCUCAUCCUGGCUGGUAACUCCCAAGUCUUUAGGGAAUGUGAAUUUCUCUGUGUCUGCGGAAGCACAAAAGUCCUCAGAGCCCUGUGGUUCUGAGGUGGCCACAGUUCCUGAAACUGGGAGAAAGGACACAGUAGUCAAAGUCCUGAUAGUUGAGGCCUGAAGGAAUCAAGCAAGAGCAUACCUUCAGCUCACUGUUCUGCGCAUCAGAUGCUGAGAUAUCUGAAAAAAUGUCCCUGGUCCUCCCACCAACAGUAGUGAAAGAUUCAGCAAGAGCACAUUUCUCUGUGAUGGGUGAUAUCUUGAGUUCAGCCAUAAAAAACACACAAAACCUUCUCCAUAUGCCCUAUGGCUGUGGGGAGCAGAACAUGGUCCUUUUUGCUCCCAACAUCUACGUAUUGAAAUAUCUGGAUAAAACCCAACAGCUGACUCAGAAGAUCAAGACUAAGGCCCUCGGCUUCCUCAGAGCUGGUUAUCAGAGAGAGCUGAACUACAAACACAAGAAUGGCUCCUACAGUGCCUUCGGGGAUCAAAAUGGCGAGAGAGAAGGAAACACUUGGCUCACAGCCUUUGUGCUCAAGUCUUUUGCCCAAGCUCGAGCCUUCAUCUUCAUCGAUGAAUCACACAUCACCCACGCCCUCACCUGGCUCUCCCAGCAGCAGAAGGACAAUGGCUGCUUCCGAAGCUCUGGAUCAUUGUUCAACAAUGCCAUGAAGGGUGGAGUAGAUGAUGAAAUGACCCUCUCUGCCUACAUAACCAUGGCCCUUCUGGAAAGUUCACUCCCAGCCAGGCAUCCUGUUGUCUCCAAAGCCCUGAGCUGCCUGGAGUCUUCCUGGAAGACCAUAGAACAAGGACAAAAUGCCAACUUUGUGUACACCAAGGCACUGAUGGCCUAUGCUUUUGCUCUGGCGGGGAACCAGGAUAAGAGAAAUGAAAUCCUGAAGUCACUUGAUGAGGAAGCUAUAAAAGAAGACAACUCCAUCCACUGGGAAAGGCCUCAGAAACCCAGAAAUUCAGAACAGCAUUUGUACAAACCCCAGGCUUCCUCUGCUGAAGUAGAAAUGAAUGCCUAUGUGGUCCUGGCUCGCCUCACUGCCCAGCCAGCCCCAUCCCCUGAGGAUCUGACUUUGUCAACGAGCACCAUCAUGUGGCUCACAAAGCAGCAGAAUUCCAAUGGUGGCUUCUCCUCCACACAGGACACUGUGCUGGCCCUUGAUGCUCUGUCCAAAUAUGGAGCAGUGACUUUUUCCAGAAGGCAGAAAACAACUUUGGUGACCAUCCAAUCUACAGGGUCAUUUUCCCAAAAGUUCCACAUAGAGAACAGUAAUCGCCUGUUACUACAGCAGGUCCCAUUACCAGACAUUCCUGGGGACUAUACCAUCAGUGUGUCAGGGGAAGGAUGUGUGUAUGCUCAGACUACACUGAGAUACAACAUGCACUUGGAGAAGCAGCAGUCUGCAUUUGCUCUACGGGUACAGACAGUACCUCUAACUUGUAAUAACCCCAAAGGCCACAACAGCUUCCAGAUCUCACUAGAAAUCAGUUACACAGGCAGCCGGCCAGCCUCCAACAUGGUGAUUGCUGAUGUGAAGAUGCUAUCUGGUUUCAUCCCAUUGAAACCAACAGUGAAAAAGCUUGAAAGAUUAGAGCACAUAAGCAGAACAGAAGUGAGCAACAACAAUGUCUUAUUAUAUUUGGAUCAGGUGACCAAUCAGACACUAGCCUUCUCCUUCAUCAUUCAACAAGACAUCCCAGUAAGGAACCUGCAGCCUGCCAUUGUGAAAGUCUAUGACUACUAUGAGACAGAUGAAGUGGCUUUUGCUGAAUACAGCAGUCCCUGCAGCUCAGACAAACAAAAUGUUUGAAACUCCUAUUUAUGGAGAAGGCACUGCUGAAAUCCCCAGACCCAGGAAUCUUCAAGAUAGUGAUUUGUGUUUGUCUCUGAAAUACAAAUACUGAACAAGCUUUAUAAAUAAAUGCCUAGUUCUCGAGA